UACGUAGGUGGCAAGCGUUGUCCGGAUUUACUGGGCGUAAAGAGCGCGCAGGCGGUCGUUCAAGUCGCGUGUGAAAGCCCCCGGCUCAACUGGGGAGGGUCACGCGAUACUGAUCGACUCGAAGGCAGGAGAGGGAAGUGGAAUUCCCGGUGUAGUGGUGAAAUGUGUAGAGAUCGGGAGGAACACCGGUGGCGAAGGCGGGUCUCUGGGCAAUUCCUGACGCUGAGGCGCGAAAGCGUGGGGAGCAAACGGG
rnacentral:rRNA from 1 species